ensembl:lncRNA
GGACAGGUCUUGCCUGCCCAUGGAAGCUCCCCUGGGACCUGUACCUGCUCAGAAACAGCUCCACUGCGCUGCAGGGACAGCCACUGGCUGCUCAGUCUCAAAGGUGGCCUUCCAGGCCCUAGAAACACCAUCACCUUUUCAGUUUCUGAGAAUUGCACCAGCCUGAGUCUACUUCAAUAAUGUUGUGGUUUGAAGGAGAACGGCUCCCACAGGCUCACUGAUUUGAAUGUUUGGUGACCAGGAAGUUUUAGGAAGGGUGUCACUGGGGUUAGCUUUGGGGUUUUUUAAAAAGCCCAAGCCAGGCCCAGGGGCUCCCUCUUUCUGCUGCUUACAGAUCUGGAUAUAGAACUCUCAGCUACCCUUCAGCUACCCUGCCCGCCUGCUGCCCUGGUCCUGCCAUGAUGAUAAUGGACUGACCCUCUGACACUGUAAGCCAGCCCCAAUUACACGCCUCCUUUUAUCAGUGCCAUGGCCAUGGUGUUUCUUCAGGCAGCAGGACACUGACUACAACAGGUAGCAUUAGGUGUUAGGGAGGAUGUCUGUAAUCUCAGCACCGAAGAGGCAGAGGCUCGAGGAUCACAAGUUUGAGGCUCCCUAGUAAAGCCAAGCUGCAAAGAGUGGUGCCUUGUUUCCCUCCCCUUAUUGUGGGCCGAACUUACAGCACAAUUCCAGCAAAGAAAGUCGGCAGACGUGAUGUAUAGCAGUAAACCACUUGCUGUGUGAAGAUCUAGUUCCAAUCAGAAUCUUUAAGGUAGGAAGAUCCCUCUUUAAUCUGGCCCACGCCUUCUGCUGUCAGCCUCUGUAAGGACAAGGGAGAGGGAAGCUCUCUUUGCCUGCUACUCUACAGAACCCCGACUGGCAUAGCAGCUGCUUUCACUUGGGUCAUCUGUGUGAUGCCAAGACUAUUCUAACGUAUGGGCAUCUAAUACACAGCUUUAGUGUGGUAGGGGGAAAAUCCAGGCACCUACUUGGGAGUUCUCAGUCUCAAAACUUAAGAAUGGAUUCAAACGGAAACUUGAGGAUAAUUUUAUUAGUGUUUAAAGAAAAUUCCUCAGAGCAGACAAGCUGUAAAUCUCAGCUGCUACCUAGAGGAGGAGAGAAGGGGGUGGAGAGGACACCCUGUUGAAGUCAACUCAGAAAUAUCAGACAGUUGAUGGAUGAGCUGUCCCAGGGCAGAGAGAGAGGCUUUAGAGAGAGUGAGGAAGACUGGAGUACCAGAAAUAGCAUUUUCAAGUUCUGGCCAGCAUCUGAAAGAACGGGGUAGAAAAGGGGGAACGUUUCAGGUGAUCAGGACGGACUUGACAUGCUCCAGCACUUCCUCUUGUUUCGCCACCAAAUACCCCAUUUGCAAACCCCUGAUGUCCAGGUGACUGAGGGCCCCCAUCAGAAUGUUAAGUCUCCACUCAGGCCAGAGAUUAUCCCAGAGACCAGGGGUUUUCUAGUCAAGUGCUAGUCUAAUGGCUUCAGCUUGAACACGAAUGAUUCCAGUUUGACUUUUUGCCGUGUCUGUUGGGUCUUGGUGUGGCUUGGUCCCAACACUGGCCUCCAAUGUUUACUGAACAGCUGCAAGGAUUCUCCCCAGAGCUUUAGGAAGAAUAUGGCUUUGCUGACAAGUCUAUUCUGUAAUUUGGGUUUCUAAAAUAAGAGAAAAUAAAUUUGCAUUGUUCUAGGUGCCAAGUUAGUGGUCAUUCUUUACAGCAUCAUUACAAAACAAAUAUAUUUGUUUUUAUCCCAACUUUACACAAGAACAUAGCUGGGCACGGUGGUGGGGGACUACAGUCUCAGCUCUGGGUGAGGGUCAGGAUUCAAGUCCAAGGUCAUCCUUUGCUACGUAGUAAGUAUGAGGCUAGCCUGGGCUAUAUGAAACUGUGUAAAGAGAAGAGUUAAGAGGAGAGAAAGGAGAGGAGAGGUGAG